AGAGCCUACGGGGGGCAGCAGUGAGGAAUAUUGGUCAAUGGGCUUACGCCUGAACCAGCCAAGUCGCGUGAGGGAAUAAGGCCCUAUGGGUCGUAAACCUCUUUUGUCAGGGAGCAAAGGCGUCCACGAGUGGACGAAAGGAGAGUACCUGAAGAAAAAGCAUCGGCUAACUCCGUGCCAGCAGCCGCGGUAAUACGGAGGAUGCGAGCGUUAUCCGGAUUUAUUGGGUUUAAAGGGUGUGUAGGCGGAGUGUCAAGUCAGCGGUAAAAUUUCGGGGCUCAACCCCGUCGCGUCGUUGAAACUGA
rnacentral:rRNA from 1 species